rnacentral:rRNA from 1 species
GNNAUGCCGCGUGAGUGACGAAGGCCUUAGGGUCGUAAAGCUCUUUCGCCAGAGAUGAUAAUGACAGUAUCUGGUAAAGAAACCCCGGCUAACUCCGUGCCAGCAGCCGCGGUAAUACGGAGGGGGUUAGCGUUGUUCGGAAUUACUGGGCGUAAAGCGUACGUAGGCGGAUUGGAAAGUAGGGGGUGAAAUCCCGGGGCUCAACCCCGGAACUGCCUCCUAAACUAUCAGUCUAGAGUUCGAGAGAGGUGAGUGGAAUUCCAAGUGUAGAGGUGAAAUUCGUAGAUAUUUGGAGGAACACCAGUGGCGAAGGCGGCUCACUGGCUCGAUACUGACGCUGAGGUACGAAAGUGUGGGGAGCAAACAGGAUUAGAUACCCUGGUAGUCCACUGCUGCCUCCCGU